rnacentral:tRNA from 1 species
CAAUUAAGGUUGGACUCGAACCAACAACCUUCCGAUUAUCAAUCGGAUGCUCUAACCAGUUGAGCUACUAGUC